AUACGCAGAUUCGGAAUAAGAUCUUCUCUGCUCUCUUUUCGAUUUCAUAUUUUUAUCGUUGUUGUUCUCAUGUUCUGAUUGGUUGACGUGUGGUAAUUAACAGAUAUCCGGGUCCUCUGAGAAAUUAGGGUUUUCCUAGUUUCCUUAUUUAAACGGAAAUCGACAGUGCGAAUUUUGGUUCCCACAUUGGAGCAUUUUGGAGAUAUUUGGAGCAAGCACCCAAGAUAACCAUCGAGAUCGACAAUCGGUUGAUAUUGGAGAACUAGAUUCGAUCAAUACAUGAGUCAUGGUGUCGAUCGAUAGCGAAGCGCGCAGAAGCCCGUUUGGUCACAGCCGACUUGAAGCCCAAGAUUUCACUAUUUUACAAGAUUUCCCUUGACGUGUUUUACCCUAAUUAUAUAAGCUUUGCCACCAUGUUAGAGGCAGAGUGUGCUUUCUUUGUGUUUCAUUGUUUUAUUAAUAGAUAGGAGAGAAGAUCCAAAGUUAUAAUUUGUGAUUUGAACUCAAUUGAUAUUUAUCUUAUUUAUUCUAUGAAGCUUUUAUACUUAACAAUUUUUAUCAAUUGCUUAGCCAUGUCUGAGUAGUUCUCUUAUUAGAUUUUAGGGUUUAAAUAGGUUAGGAGGGAUUAGCCCUAACUAUAUAAUGCUGAGUUGUGAUAAUCAUCUUUAGAAUUGUUCAUUAAUGCAUGUGUCUAGAUUAGCUACCUAGAACUUGCCCUAGGAUUGAUUGAUAAAAGCCAUAGCUAAUUCUCAUCCUGAAAACAUUCUAAAUAAACUUUGUUUUUUGCUAUGAGCAAGGCGAGAGCUGAUCUAGUGAGCUUAGUAAGCAUUCAUUCAACAUGCGCAUAAAGUUUGACUAGAGCGCGUCGAUCGAUAUCAUACUUGAAUAAUCAAUCGGCGGUGCAAAAGGUGUAUCAAUCGAUACGUCCAUUAGAAUAUCGAUCGACACUUUCUAUAGAUCAAUAUAACGAUAGUUGAGAUCAUAGAUCUAGUUAAUAGUCAACAAGUCAAUACUUACAAAGGCCGAAAGACUUGUUGAUCCAAUAGUUGAGCUUUACAUUAUCAUGCAUGCAACUCAUUAGACAUCUAUAGGAUUAUAAUUCGAACUUUCCUGAAUAAAAACCCUAAGUAUAGCUAUUUCCUUUUUAAGCACCAAAACCCACAAACUUGCUAUUGAACAAAUACUUGUUCAAUAUAAAACUACAAUUACUUUCAAACUCUUAAAAACAUCUUACUUAACAAAUCAUAUUAGAAUCUCUAGGUUCCCUAGCUCCCUGUGAAUUUGACCCCUAAGUACUACAACUCGACCUCUUAUUUGAGAGAGUAUAAAUCACUCCAUAGGGUAAUUUGAGUGGUAUCAAAUUUGGCGCCGUUGCCGGGGAGUUUUGAUCGCCUGUUUUCUAAUUUUUGUUAAGUAUUCUGACACAAUUUUUUUAUUUUGGAUUUUCAGGUAUAUGCUGAGCAGUACCAAAAGCAACAAGGAAUCUGAACUGAUAUUCUCACCAGAUCCUGCAAGUUUGGAACGCACGAUCCGUAAGGAAGCGCGCUCCCUAUCGAUAGACAACAACACUUCAGUGUCGCUCGAUUCUGCUCAACCACCGUCGACCCAGACACCAGUUCCGUCGACAGAUUCUCGCUCACCCUUAUCGAUCAACAAUACAAACCUUCCGUCGACUGAUACCCUUUAACCAACAUCAAUCGACAUUCCAUCUCAGACAUUGAUCGAUACUGAACCGCGAGCAAUGGUUCAGGACAACAAUGGAGACAUGCAUGAUCAGGAGGGUCAUCAGCGUAAUGCAGCAGGUCAGAGAAUAGAUGCUCAGGGGGGCUGCAAUCCCUGAGCCUGAUGCUACUACUACAUGUUCUACCUUACCUAUAGAUGAGGCUGUGCAACCCAUGACGUUGGCUGACUACAACCAUCCAAAUCGCUACUACACCAACAGAUCAGAGAUCCUUCCUCCUACCAUUGAGAGGGAUUUCGAGCUGAAAGAGCAGUACUACACACUUGUGGGACAGUUGUCCUACCAUAGACUAUCCCACAAGCAUCCUAUGGACCAUCUGGAGAGGUUCGAAGAUCUGAUUUCUGCUAUUAGAGUCAAGGGGGUUUCUGAAGACUACCUAUUAUGCAAGCUUUUCAGAUAUUCACUUGCUGUAGAAGCUCUGCAUUGGCUCAAGCAGUUACAACCAGGAUCUCUUAAAUCUUGGAGCGAAAUAAAGAUUGCAUUCUUAUGCAAUUUCUUUGAUGAGGCACGUGCUGAAGACUUGAGGAGAAAGAUUGCUACAUUCACUCAAGAGCCUGCAGAAUCAUUCAAAGGCUCUUGGAUCAGAUUCAAGUCUUACCAGAGAGACUGUCCAAACCAUGGAUUCAAUGAAGUACAGCUACUCAGUACUUUCUACAGAGGCAUCGCGGUGCAGUACCAGAUGGCUCUUGAUGCCUUCCAGCAAUGGAAACUUCAACACCAGGAAUCCAGAGGAUGCAGUCAAAGUAAUUAAAAACCUAGCAUCCAGUAACAACACCAAGAACACUGAUUUUGAGAGGAAGAGAUCUGCCACCAUCCUUGGGAAUGAUCAGAUGGAUGAUGUGAAGCCAAAACUGGGCAGUAUUCACAAGCUUCUCAAGAAGCAGGCUAGCUUUGUUGAAGAUGCAGAAGCUGUAGUGGGUAGAACAGAGGAAGAAGAAGUAAACUACAUUGGUGGAGCUGGAUUCCAAGGAAACCAGGGUGAAAACAUAAACUCCUAUGGAAAUAGGAGUAACUUCAACCAAAACUCGCAAUACCAGAAACACUACAACAACAGCUACAUCAACAACAAGAAUUUUGGAAGUUCCUACUACUAGAAGCCACCGCCACCUACUCAAGAGAGCAAGAUUGAAGAGAUGCUCGAUAGGGUUCUUUAGGCACAUCAGCGAAUGACAGUGGACUUCAAUGGGUAGAUAGAUUCUGUCUACACCAACCUGAACACAAACUUUGAGACCUUGAGCUCUCAUGUGAAGAAGAUGGAGAUACAGGUUGUGCAGACAAGAGAUACUAUUAGGAGGCAGAAAGCUUCAACAAGAGGAGUAGGGGAUGAUGUGAUGAAGCACCACGUGAAUGCCAUUAUUGAGGAUGACUUUUGGCAAGUGGUGAAGGAAGAAAAGCAUCAAGAAGGCGAUUUCGAGGUAGAAAGUUUGAUGAGUUUCGGCGGGUCACAUUGGUGUCGAUCGACACCAACCACCGAGCAUCGCUCGACGUACACCAAUCAGAAUCAAUCGACAGACGUACCAGAGCAUCGAUCGACAACGCCUAUGGAAUCAACCGCGUCUUGCAAUGUCGUGAAGAUUCUAACUCACGAGGAGUUUGCAGCAAAACACCCACAUCCGCCCAGCCCUGACAAUGUCCCAAUCGAUCGACAUACCAACAGCAACGUCGAUCAACACUCAGAAGCUAAUAUCGAUCAAUACCCAUCACCUCCUAUCGAUUGACGAGCCCCUAUCACCUACCGAGUGCAAAUGCCGAAGAUAGAUGUGGCAUGACUUAACGCACUCAGGCCCAAACCUAAACCUUCAGAACAACCACCGAAACCUGUCAGGACACCUUCAGAUGAUGGAGAUGAUCCUAUGGAAGAGGAAAGGGUUUAUACUGGAAGAACCCUAAGGAGAAGAAAGGAAAAAGUGGCAAAAAUCUGAAGAGGGGGGCUAAUGAAAAGGAAAAGGAAAAUUUCUAAAAAAGAGUCUUCAGGAUUCCUCUGCAUAAGACAUUCGAAGAAGCUUAUUAUAGCCACAUAUUGUGGAUGUUCUUCAGAGAAACCAGAGAAAAAGAAGAAGACAUUAAGAUAAUGUUCUGUGAAGCCAGAAAAAAGAUGAAGAGCAGGAUUACAUUGAAGAAGAAGAGAUUCUGGGCAAUUUGCAAUACCAUGCACAUUACAGGGUAUUGAAUUCCCACAUGCUUUGUGCAACACAGGAGCAUCGGUCAGCUUCCUACCUAGGGUUAUGGCAUACCAUCUAGGUCUGCAGGUAGAGCCUUCGCAGGAAUUGUUCUCUUUUGUGGAUUGUUCCCAGAAGAGUUCAUGAGGAAUUGUGAGAGACCUAGAGGUGCAGAUUGGUAAUGCCCUAGUUCCAGUUGAUUUUCAUGUCUUGGACAUCAACUUAAACUGGAACUCUUCUUUACUACUUGGGAGAGCUUUCUUGUCAACCGUGGGAGCAGUGUGCAACUUGUAAACCAACCAGUUGUGUCUAACACUCAUCGAUCCUAAUAUCCACUAGGACCCUAUCCCAGUCAAGAAGCCACAGACAAUCUUCAGAAGAAUCAAUGAUCCAAGAAUCAUUGCAGCUUACCACUGUGGAGCCGAGUACGAAACUAAAUAUGAAGAAUCGAUCGAAACUCACACAGUAACAUCGAUCAACAGUGGUAACCAGAAAUCGACCGAUAUACCACAUGAUGAAUCGGUUGAUAGUAGUCCGAAUGAAUGGGAGAACGACUACUACAACCCCACUAUUAACGCUUACACCAGACGAAAUAUGCAUAGAGACGAGUAUGAUGAAGACUAUGAGGAGAACGAGCUAUUGAGUACAAAGCCAUCCUUGAUGAGGAAGAUAAACUCUUACACCAUUCCUCUUGGAAAAGGACUGCACGAUCGAUCGACAGGACGAGCUUGCCAUCGAUCGACACUCAACCUCAACAACGAUGCCGAAAAGGAGCAUCGACCAACACUGCCUACUACAAAUCCAUUGACACUGAUCACAACCAUGGCGAGACGGAGAUUACUCGAUUGGUAGUUGGGCAGAUGAACACCACCACGAGAGAUUAGCAGUAGAAACAAUAACCUACACACCAGGAGCAGAUAAACUACAAUAUAGCUUUACAUACGAGGAGCUACUCAACAUGCAAAAGCGCGACAAUACAGAUCAGAUUCAAGCUGAAUCCGCUUGGGAAAGAACCCGAUCGAUCGACACUCGUCACCAGCAAUCGAUCGAUAAACGUCCUCAGCAAUCGAUCGACAUCAAUAAUACUACAUCGAUCGACAACCAUUCAAUACCGAAAACCACUGUAAGCGAAAAAGAUAAAUUUGAUAACCAGUAUCUAACUCCAGAUAAAUUUGGUAUUUUCAGGGACCCUAAUUUCUACGCAAAAGCCAUAGACGGCCGCACACUACACGAGAGAUUGGACAUGGAAGCAUGUCCAAUCUUGGUCACUGAUCCUGCAAUGGAAGCAGACUUUGACUCAAUCUUGGUCACUGAUCCUGCAAUGGAAGCAGACUUUGACUCAAUCUUGGUCACUAACUCCAGAUAAAUUUGGUAUUUUCAGGAUCAGUGACCAAGAUUGGACAUGGAAGCAUGUCCAAUCUUGGUCACUGAUCCUGCAAUGGAAGAAGACUUUGACUCAAGAGAGAAAUUAGAGAGAGAAAACUUAGGAACUAACUUUUACCUUCAGUUCCAGAUACUUGUCUGAAAUCUUUGCAUCCUGUGAUCGAUACUCUAAAGGUAUAGCAUGCACUUUUAUAUUUAUGCUAAGAAAUGAGGUUAGUAGAGGGGAAUGUUGUGAGAACCGAAAUUCGCACAGCCGAUUUCCGUUUAAAUUAGGAAAGUAGGAAAGCCCUAAUUUCCCAGAGGUCCCGGAUAUCUGCUAUUGCCACACACCAAGCCAUCAGAACACGAAAUAAAGACGAUAAAGUAUAAGAAAUCGUAAGAAGAGAGCAAAGUAGAUCUUAUUCUGAAUUCGCGUUUGAGCGUUACAACAAGGUAAGAGCCUGGGCCACGAGAGCUGUCGGCGAGAUUCCUAGUUCUAAAACCCUAAGACGGCAACAACCUAAUUGAGUCGCAGCUCGAAUAACAAAAACGGAAAAUUGUCUAAACUGCUCUAAGUGCUAAAUUUGAUGUGUAAAAAACCUCUCCCUUUGCCUCUCGCCUAGGACUCCUUAUAUACUCGCUCAUAGGUUGGUUUACGUUUUUCCCCUUCUGCCCUUAAGCCGUCAUAGCAUAAAAAUGGAGAUAUUCCAUUUUUCCCCGUAAGAAAUCGUAAGGUGGACCUCGAGUCACGUCUUAGGUCCCUUUGGGCCAUCUUUUGAGUCGAAGCGUUUAUUACGGUUCUUUUGAUAAAGAAUAAACUUUCUGUGGUUUUUACCGUAAAGUUUGAUUGAUGACUUCGAAUGGUCGGAAAACAUGAGACGGCUUCCCUUUGGUCUUCGGGAGAUAGCAUUGAAGGAUAAACGAGAACGCAUGGAUUCAUUGAUGUACAUCGAUCAAUUACUUCUUCGUAUCGACCUCUAAUGGUCAGCUCGGAUGAAAUCUCUUUUAAGCUCCUAAAUGCUACAUAAUCAUCACUUUAUUCCAAGAUACUUCUGAACCUGAAAACAUACCGAAUAGGAUAGAAUAUAUAAUAUAUAUAUACUAAAACAUUUUUAUUCCAUUAAUGAAAAUUAGUCAAAUCCAUGGUAUAUCAACUCCCCCAGACUUACCCUUUUGCUUGUUCUCAAGCAAAACAAACAGGCAGUCUCUCUGAAAGAGGUUUGAAAACAGCAGGGACUUACAGAUUUAAAACAAAGAAAUCAUCACCUCUACAAUUUCGCAUACCACAUCUAAAAAAAACCCUAAUCACAAAAGCACAUUAUGCAAUAUCCUAGCUUAGCAACCAAUUUCAACUAGUCUACAACUCAGCAAAUCAUGUCUGACAUUCUGCUCUACCAACCUCAUUUCUUAGCAUAAAUAUAAAAGUGCAUGCUUUACCUUAGGAGUGUCGAUCACAUGAUGCAAGGAUUUUCAGACAAGUAUCUAGGACUGCAGGUAAAAAUUAGUUCAUAAUUUCUCUCUUGAGUCAAAGUCUGCUUCCUUUGCAGGAUCAGUGAAUAAGAUUGGACAAGCUUCCGUGAAUCAAAGACUUAAUGGUGGUUGCCACCAAGCCCUAUUCACUUCUUUUGACCUAUAUUCAAGAACUGUUUGUGAAGCGAGCCUUGAAGAUUGUCGCCUCCAAGUCCCGUUCGAAUCCUUUUAUUGGAAUUUUUAUGAAUCAAGCCUUAUUGGUUUUAGCCACCAAGUCUUGUUCAGACUCCUCCUAACUAGAUCCUAAGUCCUAAUUAAGUAAUGAAUUUUGAAUUUUAUUUUUUUAUUUUAUUUUUAUUUUUAUUUUUUUUAAACUAACUUCUCUAGAGUCGAAAUAGAGAGAGGAAAUGUGAUAAAUGAAUCUACACAAGGCGUUACCUUCCAGACUUGUCUGAAGAAUCCGAUCCCAUGUAUACCAAUCCCCAAGACAAGCGAUUAUGUCAGGUUUAGUGUUGGAGGUCAGCUUUGGUUCAUUCAAACAAUCAAGGCAAGUGUGUAUAGUUGACAGGUUGAUCCACUUUAGAAUCUUUAGUACUAUUUGCAAUCAGUAAAUCUAGAAUGAUGCUAAAGAAUGGUUAGACAUUCAAGUGUAAAACAAUAAUAAGAUCAUAGUCCCUUUAACAUAGCUAAGCAUAAUUUUAUUAAAAUACUUUUAUUAGAAUCAUAAUAAAUUAUAUCAGUAAACCUCACCCCAGACUUAUAUUACACUGUCCUAGUAUAACAAAGUCGGAGUUAUGGUGGAAAUAAAUCAUAAGUUCUCAAUGUAACAAGUUAGGAAGAUAAACCUGACCGGAGUGGGAAUCGAUGUGCUUCGGUAUGCAUCGAUCAUCGUAUGUGAUUGUAGGUCAAUCGAUGUCGACGUCUCGUCCACGGUCGAUAUGUUGGUAAACAUCCUACUUGGGUCUAGCAAUAAAUCUGAAAGAAUGAAAACGAUAGUAAAUAGUAGUAACUAAGAAAACCAAUUAAAAUUACCUAAUAGUUGGUUGCCUCCCACUCAGCGCUUUGUUAUAGUCAUUUAGCUUGACUGUGGAUGUGUGUGGCUAGUUGGUGGAAAGACAGCUACUUGUUGGGAAACAAGCAUCCACCUCAUCUCUGCACAUUCUGGACCAAGGUGCAAUGAAACUUCUAGUGGCCUCAUCAUUUCUGGUCCAUCUCUCAUCCAUCUUCUGUAUUGCAUUUGAGAUGUUCUGUAGCCCUUCUAGGAUAUCUUCAAUGCUGAACUGAUGCCAUCAUAUCUUGUUGUAGGCGUAUGCUGAUAGCUCGUUCAGUUCCUCAUGCAUUGACUCCAUUUUGUUUUAUAUCAGCUGCUUGUCGUCUGGUGUAGAAGUGGUAUCGAUCGAUGCAACCAAGUGUCUAUCGAUCGUUGCUGGUGCAGUAUUAUCGAUCGAUUUGGAGCGUGCUCUGUCGAUCGAAGCUGAUAUCUGGUGUUGAGAUGCGAGUUACUGCUGAAUGGCUUUGACUUUCUUCUGUAACCACUCUGCUUGGCUAUCCAGUCCACUGAGUCUGACGUCGAAUGGAAAGUUGAUGUCAUCACACCGCUUCUCAACUCGUUCCUCCAUGGUGUCUAUAGCUGUGUAAAGCUUUGAUGUGAUCUGAUCAAUUUCUACUGUUGUGUAGAGAAGAUAUGAUACCACUCAAAUUACCCUAAGGAGUGUUACUCUCAUCAAAAGAGGUUCAGAUGUAGUACUUAGGGAUCGAAUCCACAAGGAGCUAGGGAACAAUUAAAUCUAGUGUUUAUUAAUUCUAAAGGUUUUAAUGUUUUAAAUGAAAUAGCAAUGGUAACUAGCGAGUAAAUGAUA